CUCAGAUGACUUCCAACUGCCAGUAUGUAGAGCUGUGCAUCUGAGGACUUUUUCCAGAACCAUGGAAAGCUGCUUUGUCUGCAUGCACUUCUUUAACUGAGUAACUGAAGCAGUCAGCCUUCAACCAGAGAAGUUCUGGGCAUCUGGGGGAAGUGGCUGAUGUCAGGGAAAAUCUGUAAAAGGUCAACACUUUGCAAGCCAAGCAGAAUAGGUCUUCCAGCCAUAUGAGACCCACAGAUCACCAGUUUGAAACCCUCAGGAUAGAACAUUUCCCAAAAGAAGUUGAAGACUUUGGAGGAUGAAAAUUACUUUCUUCUCAGCUGAACUAGAGCUAACAGCCCAAGGAAUUAUCAACUAUGUUCUUUAAAACUUUUUAAUAUAUUUUAUCAAAGGAAAUAGCAAGAUGAUUUGACAAGUAUCAACACAUGAACAAAAGCAUUGAUUGACCAUGGAUUACAACUGUGAAAUGCAAGGUUUGCAAGUGAAAUUCAUGCUACC